CUUAACGGACCAGAGUGGACAACAAUGUAACCGGUGCGGAUUAAGUCAUAAAAAAGGAGAAUGCAAAGCAGCCAAUUCUACUUGUCGUGUGUGCGGGAAGAGAGGACAUUGGGCAUCUGUAUGCUGGAGCAGUGCAGGAACGAAGUAAACGACAAAGAGAAUUCGAGUAAAGUAAAGGGUAGUAUUAGACAGGAGAAAAAAGUAACUUUUCAAGAUAUUAAACAAAAAUUUAAAGUUAACGAUAGUAUUUUAUACAGAAUUACAAGUAAAGAUUUUGCAAAGUGGGUUCCUGGAAAAAUAUUAAAAAUUUUAAGUAAAGUAAGAUAUAUGAUUGCAGUUGAAAAUAGAAUCAUCCAGGCCCACGAAGAUCAGAUUAAAAUUCACAAGGGAAAAAUUCCCCAGAAAUAUUCUUUCAUUUUUGAAGAGGGGGAGGAAAUAAUUGAAGUAGAUGAUUCCUCAUCCUCAAAUUCGAAGUUUAGUACAGCAGAGUCAGAAGAGAGCGACUCAGAUUCACCUUUUCAUGGUUUCGCUCGAAAAUCAGAUAGGAUCCGCCGUCCACCUAGAAGAUUGAUGUAUCAUUGAAUUAUUGUUUGAUUUUCGAAGCAUGGGAGACCAACCAUUGUUAGUUUGUAAGAAAAUGAAGGAAAAGGCUUUUGAAAAAGGGAGUGGUGUUAUAUAUGAAAUAUAACAAUGAAAUCUAUGAAAUAUUGCUCCCUAACUUUUUAUAGCAAGUAAAUGUAUAAAAAGGCGCAAAGAGUGCA